UGGGGAAUAUUGGACAAUGGGCGAAAGCCUGAUCCAGCCAUGCCGCGUGUGUGAAGAAGGUCUUCGGAUUGUAAAGCACUUUAAGUUGGGAGGAAGGGCAGUAAGUUAAUACCUCGCUGUUUUGACGUUACCGACAGAAUAAGCACCGGCUAACUCUGUGCUAG
rnacentral:rRNA from 1 species